rnacentral:lncRNA from 1 species
UCUAGAAGAGGGUCACGGCUGGUUGUAGAGAUCUGGUCGCUGGGUUUUGGGUGGCAGAAUGAAGGUAGAGAUAGGGUCGUUUGGUGUGAGGUAUUGCCGCUGGGAAUGGGGUUCUCUUCGGGUGUCCAGGGGUCUGUUUUUUUAUGUUUCAGAAGAUGAGAAUUGGUAGGGAGGUCACUAAUUCUGCCGCAAGGGUCUGGCGGAGAUGGCAGCGGUGACGGAGUGUGUUGAAGGUGAAAUUAGGGAUUCUUAAAGUUGAAGACGG